UUUUUAUAAUUUGAAUAACCAAAGUUAUAAAAACUAUACUGACUAUGGGAUAAUAUAUAUAUGGGUGGACAAAAAAGAACCCAAAAAAUUAAUAUUGAACUGAAUCCCACCGGAACUGAAACUAGUAUAAAUAUUUGAAUGGGUUUUCUUCUACGGUAUUUUGGAUUUUGUGUUUUACCUGAACUCGAACGGAUCUAAAAGACCCAAAAAUUAAAACCAAACCAAAAUCUAUAAUAAACUUGAACCCAGUCCCGAAUAGUUGACAAAAACAUUCAAAAACCUAAUAAAUAUCCAAAAUAAAGAUAUAUUACGUGAAUAAUCAACUCAAAUACUUAUUUAGAAAUACCAAAUUGGUAGAGGAGCAGGACGAAAGAGUGAUGAAGAUAUCAUCAUCAAUCCAUAGACAAAGCCGAAGCAACGACCAUAUCAGACAUGGUCAUACAUACAUCUCCAAUAUAUCCAUCUUAAAAGCGGAAUUGUUCGACAAUCUGAGGCAUAUGAGCCUCAUAU
rnacentral:lncRNA from 1 species